rnacentral:sRNA from 1 species
UGCUGACUUCAAUGAGUCCAAUAUAAUAGAGGGUAAGAGAACGCGCAAGGCAACCCAUCAUAUAGCAGUAUCUAUUGCUAAAGAUAAUCCAAAUCGGAUGAUCAAUGCUGCCUUCGCGGAACCCCUAUCUAGAUCAGAACCUUCUAAAAUCCAUCGAUCUCAGUUAUCUGACCCACCUCAACAUUGGAAUGAUAUCAACAAGCACCUCUAUUGCAAUGAAUGGAUUAACACUGCCAAACAGGAAUGGGACUCUAUAACCCAGCAAAAUACCUAUGAAAUUGUUAACAGACCUUCAAAAGAUACCCCAGUGAUUCCACUACAUUGGGUAUUCAUCUACAAGUUUGAUGAUGAUGGUUAUCUUGUCAAGUUCAAAGCUUGUAUCUGCAUCCGAGG